GACGAACGCUGGCGGCGCGCCUAACACAUGCAAGUCGAACGGAGCUGAGAGAAGCUUGCUUUUCUUAGCUUAGUGGCGAACGGGUGAGUAACGCGUGAGUAACCUGCCCUGGAGUGGGGGACAACAGUUGGAAACGACUGCUAAUACCGCAUAAGCCCACGAUCCGGCAUCGGAUUGAGGGAAAAGGAUUUAUUCGCUUCAGGAUGGACUCGCGUCCAAUUAGCUAGUUGGUGAGGUAACGGCCCACCAAGGCGACGAUUGGUAGCCGGACUGAGAGGUUGAACGGCCACAUUGGGACUGAGACACGGCCCAGACUCCUACGGGAGGCAGCAGUGGGGGAUAGUGCACAAUGGGGGAAACCCUGAUGCAGCGACGCCGCGUGGAGGAAGAAGGUUUUCGGAUUGUAAACUCCUGUCGUUAGGGACGAUAAUGACGGUACCUAACAAGAAAGCACCGGCUAACUACGUG
rnacentral:rRNA from 1 species